CAACAAUCAUCAUUCUGAAUCAGCUCCUAUGGAGAAGGAAGCAGAAAAGUUAGGGCGGCAAUGCUGGCUGAUCUACGCUUACGGAACAGGAUGCCAAAGAAGAAAACUACAACUGCCCCAGAACGCAGCAAAUCAACUAACAACUCGAACCGAAACAG